AAUUCCUGAAUUAUAUACCUUUCUGCUAAAUAAGUGAUGCAGGGCUUAAAUACCUUAUUGUUGUAUUUACUCUUUUCUCAUCAUCUAGAAUGGUUAGGUAAUAACUUAACCCAAAUAAAAGAUAAAACUAAGGCAUCACUCGUAGUAAGCUUUUCGGCAAAAGUUGUGUUAGCCAAGUACACCAAAAAGCUAGCAUACACUUCCAAAGAAAGCUAUUAUAUUGGUUAGUCGGGUAAGACUUGCUGAGUACCCCGUACUCAGGGUUAUCCCUUGUGGCUAUCUUUCAGAAGCUCCGCAGGAGUCUACAGAGGAGG
rnacentral:lncRNA from 1 species